ACCCCUCACGUGCAACGCCGUUGCUAGCCUCUAGACCUUCGGACUGGACCCCUGCCUUUCUGAACUCUGCUUCCCUACCUGGACAACGCUCUUGGACACUGCUACUGGUUAGUUUGUCAAGCCUUUCUUCUGCCAGCCGACCUCCGUUAUCUGCCUGGCCUUGACUGAUUUAUUGCCCAGCUAACUGCCAGCUGCUUCGUUACUGCCCAGCCCCCAGCCCUGAAACUGACAACUUUCUUCUUUACCAUUUCUUCAAAUAUUGCACGGCUAAGACCCGAAACCUUUGGUCAGUGCAAGGGAUCAGACCUCAAACAGGUCUGUUGGAAGGAUUUCCCCCGCACAGAUUCUUUUAAGUGGAAAGAGCCUCCCUUCACUGCACAGGAGAUGGGAUAGUUUCCCUUGGCCAAGGGGCAUACAAUGAAAAAAGAUGAAGAAUCCCAUCCAUUUAUUUAUCCAGUCCCAUGGAGCAUCUGUGGUCAGCUGGCUUUCCAGACAAGCCAAAGACUUACACAGUAUUUCCUCCUGAGAGAGAAAGGGCUGAAGUGAGCGAGGUCAUUGUUUCAAACAGCAAAGGAAGCCAUUAAUUGGUAGGCAUAAUGAUCCUUCUCUCUAUGACACCUGGAGGACCACAUUGGAACAUUAUUCAUUCUGCUGCUGACUACCUCGGUAAUAGGCAGAUGGCAGGGAACUAGCUAGAGAAUGUUUGAGAGAAGAAAAAUAAUGAUCAGAAAGGACGAUCUAGUCAGCAUCCAAGAGAAAGAAGGAAGGAGUGCCAAAGCACACUGUAGACAAAUAUAGGCUGUUGAUGACAAGGCAAAAAAAGGACUAUUCAUUAUUGGGGGGGGGAGGAUGUGUAAUUAUUAUUGGAGAGGAAAGAAUAUGUAACUCUCAGUGUAACUCCCUGGUGAAGAAAUGUAGAAAACAUCUUGAACUAAGUUCAAGGUGCUGGUAUUGGGACCAGGACACUUGAAAGAUAAUCUCAUCACUUACAUACCUAAUUGAUCACUGCACUCUGCAGGACAGGGCCUCCUGAAGAUGCCAUCUUAUCAGGAGAUCUGUUCUGUACGAUAUAGAAAUCGGGCCUUUAGUGUGGUGGCACCUACCAUUGGAAUUCCCUCCUAUUACAUAUUAGACAGGUAUCUUCUCUAUUGUCUUUUUGGUACCUAUUGAGGAUCUUAUUCUUUCAAUAAGCCUUUUAAGUGGAAACCUUUAUGUCAGUCUGCAUCUGUACUGGCACUAUUUUUAACUAAUUUUAUAUGUGGAAUUGUUUUUUAACAGUUUUUACACUUUUCUUGUUUUAUUUUACAGUAGAACCUUGCUAUAAUGCGAGGGUCAGGGAACAAGGGACACUCCUGCAUUAUAGGGCUUCCAUGUCACAAUGAAAGCCAUGUUCUGUAAACAGUAUUUUACUUGGGGGACAUCUUCAUAUCCACGGUAUAUCCGAAUCCGCAGUUCAGCAAGCUGUGUUAUAGCAAGAUUUUACUGUAUUUAUUUAACACAAUUUAUAUACCACUUGAGUGUAAUAAAACCUCUAAGUUAUGGCUGCAACUGUUUUGUUUAUUGUAUAAUUGUAUAUUUUAUUGUAGUGGUGCACACUGGGACAUUGUG